GAGGGUGCAAGCGUUAAUCGGUAUCACUGGGCGUAAAGCGCACGUAGGCUGUCGUGUAAGUCAGGGGUGAAAGCCCACGGCUCAACCGUGGAAUUGCCCUUGAUACUGCAUGACUGGAAUCCGGGAGAGGGUGGCGGAAUUCCAGGUGUAGGAGUGAAAUCCGUAGAUAUCUGGAGGAACAUCAGUGGCGAAGGCGGCCACCUGGACCGGUAUUGACGCUGAGGUGCGAAAGCGUGGGGAGCAAA
rnacentral:rRNA from 1 species